UUCCCUCUGGUGUACCGGCAGCACACCGCACUUUGACUGCGGAGGACGUGGUUCGACACCACGGAGGGAAG
rnacentral:tRNA from 1 species